UGGACAGGUGGUCGCUGGGCAGUUAUGAUGGCUGCCGAGAGGAAAGUCCGAGCUUCGAGAGCAGGGUGCUGGCUAACUACCAGUGGAGGCGACUCUAAGGAAAGUGCAACAGAAAAUUACCGCACGUAAGUGUAAGGUUGAAAAGGCGAGGUAAGAGCUCACCGCAUACCAGGUGACUGGCGUGGCAAUGUAAACCCCACCUGAAGCAAGAUUAAGUAUGGUCUAGGCUGCUCGCUGACCAUCAAAAAUAUCGCUUGACCAUAUUGGCAACAAUAUGGCUAGAUAGAUGACCGCCAAAUACAGAACUCGGCUUAUAGUCCA
rnacentral:RNase_P_RNA from 1 species